UGGAUCAUCUACCUACUUGUGGGAAUAACUCUGGGAAACCGGAGCUAAUACCGCAUAAGUCCGAGAGGAGAAAGCAGCAAUGCGCAGAGAGAGGAGUCCGCGGCCGAUUAGUUAGUUGGCAGGGUAAAAGCCUACCAAGACAAAGAUCGGUAGCCGGCCUGAGAGGGCACACGGCCACACUGGCACUGAAACACGGGCCAGACUCCUACGGGAGGCAG
rnacentral:rRNA from 1 species